UACAGAGGUCUCAAGCGUUGUUCGGAUUCAUUGGGCGUAAAGGGUGUGUAGGUGGCGCCGUAAGUCGGGUGUGAAAUUUCGGAGCUUAACUCCGAAACUGCAUUCGAUACUGCGGUGCUUGAGGACUGGAGAGGAGACUGGGAAUUCAUGGUGUAGCAGUGAAAUGCGUAGAGAUCAUGAGGAAGACCAGUGGCGAAGGCGGGUCUCUGGACAGUUCCUGACACUGAGACACGAAGGCCAGGGGAGCAAAACGGG
rnacentral:rRNA from 1 species